CCUACGGGGGGCUGCAGUGGGGGAUAUUGCACAAUGGGGGAAACCCUGAUGCAGCGACGCCGCGUGGGUGAAGAAGCGCCUCGGCGCGUAAAGCCCUGUCAGCAGGGAAGAAAAUGACGGUACCUGAAGAAGAAGCCCCGGCUAACUACGUGCCAGCAGCCGCGGUAAUACGUAGGGGGCAAGCGUUAUCCGGAUUUACUGGGUGUAAAGGGGGCGCAGACGGCGAUGCAAGCCAGGGGUGAAAGCCCGGGGCCCAACCCCGGGAGUGCCCGUGGAACUGCGUGGCUAGAGUGCAGGAGGGGCAGGCGGAAUUCCUGGUGUAGCGGUGAAAUGCGUAGAUAUCAGGAGGAACACCGGUGGCGAAGGCGGCCUGCUGGACUGCAACUGACGUUGAGGCCCGAAAGCGUGGGGAGCAAACAGGAUUAGAUACCCUUGUAGUC
rnacentral:rRNA from 1 species